AGUGAACGCUGGCGGUAGGCCUAACACAUGCAAGUCGAACGGCAGCACAGGAGAGCUUGCUCUCUGGGUGGCGAGUGGCGGACGGGAGAGGAAUACAUCGGAAUCUACUUUUUCGUGGGGGAUAACGUAGGGAAACUUACGCUAAUACCGCGUACGACCUACGGGUGAAAGCAGGGGAUCUUCGGACCUUGCGCGAGUGAAUGAGCCGAUGUCGGAUUAGCUAGUUGGCGGGGUAAAGGCCCACCAAGGCGACGAUCCGUAGCUGGUCUGAGAGGAUGAUCAGCCACACUGGAACUGAGACACGGUCCAGACUCCUACGGGAGGCAGCAGUGGGGAAUAUUGGACAAUGGGCGCAAGCCUGAUCCAGCCAUACCGCGUGGGUGAAGAAGGCCUUCGGGUUGUAAAGCCCUUUUGUUGGGAAAGAAAUCCAGCUGGUUAAUACCCGGUUGGGAUGACGGUACCCAAAGAAUAAGCACCGGCUAACUUCGUGCCAGCCGCCGCAGUAA
rnacentral:rRNA from 1 species